rnacentral:rRNA from 1 species
UACGAAGGGGGCUAGCGUUGUUCGGAAUCACUGGGCGUAAAGCGCACGUAGGCGGAUUGUUAAGUCGGGGGUGAAAUCCUGAGGCUCAACCUCAGAACUGCCUUCGAUACUGGCAAUCUCGAGUUCGGAAGAGGUUGGUGGAACAGCUAGUGUAGAGGUGAAAAUUCGUAGAUAUUAGCUAGAACACCAGUGGCGAAGGCGGCCAACUGGUCCGACACUGACGCUGAGGUGCGAAAGCGUGGGGAGCGAACAGG